rnacentral:rRNA from 1 species
CCUACGGGUGGCAGCAGUGGGGGAUAUUGGACAAUGGCGGAAACCCUGAUCCAGCGACGUCGCGUGAGUGAAGAAGUAUUUCGGUAUGUAAAGCUCUAUUAGCAGGGAAGAAAGAAAUGACGGUACCUCAGUAAGAAGCCUCGGCUAACUACGUGCCAGCAGCCGCGGUAAUACGUGGGGGGCAAGCGUUAUCCGGAAUUACGUGGUGUCAAGGGGGCGUAGGCGGGAAUGCCAGUCUGGAGGGAAAGGCGGGGGCCCACACCCCGGACUGCUGUGGAAACUGUGUGACUGGAGUGCAGGAGAGGCAGGCGGAAUGCGUGGUGUAGCGGUGAAAUGCGUAGAUAUUAGGAAGAACUCCGAUGGCGAAGGCAGCGUACUGGAGUGUAACUGACGUUGAGGCACGAAAGCGUGGGGAGCGAACAGGAUUAGAUACCCUAGUAGUC